AUGUGCACAUCACAAAGUUUGAUCCGACCUUGGUCCCAGAGUCUUCAUAAAUGCUCACUGAAGAAAAUUCCCAGGAUGAUUCGGGGGCCUCUCAAAACUUCUGCUUCAAGACGUUGAUAAAGAACCUUAGUAACUUGACUAUACACCCCAGUACUGAAUUCCCUUCCCAUCUACCAGAAAAUUCACCCCAACAACAAUAUACAGGAGCAAUGAUGCUCAGGGAAAUCAGAGAUGACUUGCUCUACAUGAGAGGGGUAAGAACACUGCUGUUUGCAUAGAAAGAAAAGGAUGGCAAAAUUGAGAUACAUGUUACUCAGCAGAGUUCUAGGCUUGAAAGAGAACUAACAAACACUGGGCUUAAGAGAGUUCAGAAUGAAUCAAGUAGUGGACCAUUCAGAUGUUGCUGCAGUUUCUGCAUGUAUAACCAAUGGGAUCCUUCUGAGGAUGCUAGAAUACGGAAUUAUGACACUGAGCCAUGUCAGC
rnacentral:lncRNA from 1 species